UACGUAGGGGGCGAGCGUUGUCCGGAAUUAUUGGGCGUAAAGCGCGCGCAGGCGGUUCUUUAAGUCUGGUGUUUAAGAGCGGGGCUCAACCCUGCUACGCACUGGAAACUGGAGGACUUGAGUGCAGCAGAGGGAAGCGGAAUUCCACGUGUAGCGGUGAAAUGCGUAGAGAUGUGGAGGAACACCAGUGGCGAAGGCGGCUUUCUGGGCUGUAACUGACGCUGAGGCGCGAAAGCGUGGGGAGCAAACAGG
rnacentral:rRNA from 1 species